rnacentral:rRNA from 1 species
GUAGGUGGCAAGCGUUGUCCGGAAUUAUUGGGCGUAAAGCGCGCGCAGGUGGUUCUUUAAGUCUGAUGUGAAAGCCCCCGGCUCAACCGGGGAGGGUCAUUGGAAACUGGGGAACUUGAGUGCAGGAGAGGAAAGUGGAAUUCCACGUGUAGCGGUGUAAUGCGUAGAUAUGUGGAGGAACACCAGUGGCGAAGGCGACUUUCUGGCCUGUAACUGACACUGAGGCGCGAAAGCGUGGGGAGCAAACAGGGAUUAGAUACCCUGGUAGUCCACGCCGUAAACGAUGAGUGCUAAGUGUUGGGGGGGUUUCCCGCCCCUCAGUGCUGCAGCUAACGCAUUAAGCACUCCGCCUGGGGAGUACGGUCGCAAGACUG